rnacentral:piRNA from 1 species
UGAAACAGAGAUGUGCAGAGAAGGCGCACAU